rnacentral:rRNA from 1 species
UACGAAGGGGGCUAGCGUUGCUCGGAAUCACUGGGCGUAAAGCGCUCGCAGGCGGCUUGCUACGUCGUGCGUGAAACACCCCGGCUCAACUGGGGAGGGUCGUGCGAUACGGGCAGGCUGGAGGCCAGUAGGGGGAUGCGGAAUUCCGGGUGUAGUGGUGGAAUGCGUAGAGAUCCGGAGGAACACCAGCGGCGAAGGCGGCAUCCUGGACUGGUACUGACGCUCAGGAGCGAAAGCGUGGGGAGCGAUCCGG